AAUUAUAAAUAUCUUAAUUGUAGCGGCCUAUAGUUCCUUGAGUACGAGUUUCGAACACCGACUUGUACAAGCCGCAAGUGGCUGUGCGCCUAGCGUCGAAGUCAAUCGAUAUUCGAUGUUAAGCAAACAGAGUGCGGAAC